rnacentral:rRNA from 1 species
GAUGAACGCUGGCGGCGUGCCUAAUACAUGCAAGUCGAGCGAACGGACGAGAAGCUUGCUUCUCUGAUGUUAGCGGCGGACGGGUGAGUAACACGUGGAUAACCUACCUAUAAGACUGGGAUAACUUCGGGAAACCGGAGCUAAUACCGGAUAAUAUUUUGAACCGCAUGGUUCAAAAGUGAAAGACGGUCUUGCUGUCACUUAUAGAUGGAUCCGCGCUGCAUUAGCUAGUUGGUAAGGUAACGGCUUACCAAGGCAACGAUGCAUAGCCGACCUGAGAGGGUGAUCGGCCACACUGGAACUGAGACACGGUCCAGACUCCUACGGGAGGCAGCAGUAGGGAAUCUUCCGCAAUGGGCGAAAGCCUGACGGAGCAACGCCGCGUGAGUGAUGAAGGUCUUCGGAUCGUAAAACUCUGUUAUUGGGAAGAACAUAUGUGUAAGUAACUGUGCACAUCUUGACGGUACCUAAUCAGAAAGCCACGGCUAACUACGUG